rnacentral:rRNA from 1 species
CACGUAGGGCGCAAGCGUUGUCCGGAAUUAUUGGGCGUAAAGAGCUCGUAGGCGGUCUGUUGCGUCCGCUGUGAAAACCCGGGGCUCAACCCCGGGCCUGCAGUCGAUACGGGCAGACUAGAGUGCGGUAGGGGAGACUGGAAUUCCUGGUGUAGCGGUGAAAUGCGCAGAUAUCAGGAGGAACACCGGUGGCGAAGGCGGGUCUCUGGGCCGUAACUGACGCUGAGGAGCGAAAGCGUGGGGAGCGAACAGG